CCCGCUGAACUUAAGCAUAUCAAUAAGCGGAGGAAAAGAAACUAACAAGGAUUCCCCUAGUAACGGCGAGUGAAGCGGGAAGAGCUCAAAUUUAAAAUCUGGCGGUCUUUGGCCGUCCGAGUUGUAGCCUAGAGAAGCGUUUUCUGUGGCGGACCAUGUACAAGUCUCUUGGAACAGAGCGUCAUAGAGGGUGAGAAUCCCGUCCUUGACAUGGACCCCCGUUGCUCUGCGAUGCGCUCUCGAAGAGUCGAGUUGUUUGGGAAUGCAGCUCAAAACGGGUGGUAAAUGCCAUCUAAAGCUAAAUAUUGGCGAGAGACCGAUAGCGAACAAGUACCGUGAGGGAAAGAUGAAAAGAACUUUGGAAAGAGAGUUAAACAGUACGUGAAAUUGCUGAAAGGGAAACGCUUGAAGUCAGUCGCGUCGGCUGGAAAUCAGUCUUGCUUCUGCUUGACGUACUUUCUGGUUCGACGGGUCAGCAUCAGUUUUGACCGCCGGAUAAAGUCGUUGGGAAUGUGGCAUCUUCAUGAUGUGUUAUAGCCCGUCGUCGCAUACGGUGGUCGGGAUUGAGGAACUCAGCACGCCGCAAGGCCGGGUCGUUUCGACCACGUUCGUGCUUAGGAUGCUGGCAUAAUGGCUUUAAUCGACCCGUCUUGAAACACGG
rnacentral:rRNA from 1 species